GUACGGCGAGUGAGCGGCAACAGCUCAAAUUUGAAAUCUGGCCUCUUUGGGGUCCGAGUUGUAAUUUGUAGAGGAUGUUUCGGGUACCGCCUCGGUUUAAAUUUCUUGGAACAGAAUGUCAAAGAGGGUGAGAAUCCCGUCUUGGACCGGCGGUAGGGCCCAUGUGAAACUCCUUCGACGAGUCGAGUUGUUUGGGAAUGCAGCUCAAAAUGGGUGGUAAAUUUCAUCUAAAGCUAAAUAUUGGCCAGAGACCGAUAGCGCACAAGUAGAGUGAUCGAAAGAUGAAAAGCACUUUGAAAAGAGAGUUAAACAGUAUGUGAAAUUGUUGAAAGGGAAGCGCUUACAACCAGACUUGCGCGCGGCGGUUCCCCCUUCCUUUUGGUUGGGCUACUCCGUCGUGUCCAGGCCAACAUCGGUUCUGGGGGUCGGUUAAAGACCCUGGGAAUGUAUCUACCCUUCGGGCGUAGACUUAUAGCUCAGGGUGUCAUGCGACCUCCCGGGACCGAGGAACGCGCUUCGGCUCGGAUGUUGGCGUAA
rnacentral:rRNA from 1 species